CAAUAUGUGAAUAGUAUCACCACAAUAAUAAUAUGACAAUGAUCAAAAUUGGUAUAUGGUUUUCCACAAUUAUUUGCAAGACAACAAUGUUGUAUUUUUGCUCUUGAUUCAAUGGGAGGAAGAAGAGACUUGUCUUGCAAUAAUGUGGGAACCAUAACCACCACUUUAUAACUUCAAGAGUUACAUAACUCAAGAGUCACAAGCAUGUAACCAUGGUUACAUA
rnacentral:lncRNA from 1 species